GAUGAACGCUGGCGGCGUGCUUAACACAUGCAAGUCGAACGGAAAGGCCCUGCUUUUGUGGGGUGCUCGAGUGGCGAACGGGUGAGUAACACGCGAGUAACCUGCCCUUGACUUUGGGAUAACUUCAGGAAACUGGGGCUAAUACCGGAUAGGAGCUCCUGCUGCAUGGUGGGGGUUGGAAAGUUUCGGCGGUUGGGGAUGGACUCGCGGCUUAUCAGCUUGUUGGUGGGGUAGUGGCUUACCAAGGCUUUGACGGGUAGCCGGCCUGAGAGGGUGACCGGCGACAUUGGGACUAAGAUACGGCGCAGACUCCUACGGGAGGCAGCAGGGGAGAAUAUUGCAGAAUGGGCGGAAGCGUGAUGCAGCAGCGCCGCGUGCGGGAUAACGGCCUACGGGUUGUAAACCGCUUUCGCCUGUGACGAAGCGUGAGUGACGGUAAUGGAUAAGGAAGCACCGGCUAACUACGUG
rnacentral:rRNA from 1 species